CGGGCCAUACAUCAGUAACGGCGAGUGAGCGGUAACAGCUCAAAUUUGAAAUCUGGCUCCUUCGGAGUCCGAGUUGUAAUUUGUAGAAGAUGCUUUGGGUUGUGGGCUCGGCCUAAGUUCCUUGGAACAGGACGUCAUAGAGGGUGAGAAUCCCGUAUGUGGCUAUGGCCCGCGCCUAUGUAAAGCUCUUUCGACGAGUCGAGUUGUUUGGGAAUGCAGCUCAAAAUGGGUGGUAAAUUUCAUCUAAAGCUAAAUAUGGGCCAGAGACCGAUAGCGCACAAGUAGAGUGAUCGAAAGAUGAAAAGCACUUUGGAAAGAGAGUUAAACAGUACGUGAAAUUGUUGAAAGGGAAGCGCUUGCAACCAGACUUGGGCGCUGCCGAUCACCCCGAGUUCUCUCGGGUGCACUCGACAGCGCACAGGCCAGCAUCGGUUCGGGUGGCUGGAUAAAGGCCGUAGGAAUGUAGCUCUCUUCGGGGAGUGUUAUAGCCCACGGUGCCAUGCAGCCCAGCCGGACCGAGGACCGCGCCUUCGGGCUAGGAUGCUGGCGUAAUGGUUGUAAGCGACCCGUCUUGAACCACGGACCAAAUUUUGUUUG
rnacentral:rRNA from 1 species